UACGAAGGGGGCUAGCGUUGCUCGGAAUUACUGGGCGUAAAGCGCACGUAGGCGGCUUUCUAAGUCGGGGGUGAAAUCCUGGAGCUCAACUCCAGAACUGCCUUCGAUACUGGAGAGCUUGAGUCCGGGAGAGGUGAGUGGAACUGCGAGUGUAGAGGUGAAAUUCGUAGAAUAUUCGCAAGAACACCAGUGGCGAAAGGCGGCCUCAGCU
rnacentral:rRNA from 1 species